UUGAACGCUGGCGGCAUGCUUUACACAUGCAAGUCGAACGGUAGAGGGCUUCGGCCCUUGAGAGUGGCGAACGGGUGAGUAAUGCAUCGGAACAUACCCAGUCGUGGGGGAUAACGUAGCGAAAGUUACGCUAAUACCGCAUACGUCCUGAGGGAGAAAGCGGGGGAUCUUCGGACCUCGCGCGAUUGGAGUGGCCGAUGUCAGAUUAGGUAGUUGGUGGGGUAAAAGCCUACCAAGCCGACGAUCUGUAGCUGGUCUGAGAGGACGACCAGCCACACUGGGACUGAGACACGGCCCAGACUCCUACGGGAGGCAGCAGUGGGGAAUUUUGGACAAUGGGCGAAAGCCUGAUCCAGCCAUGCCGCGUGCGGGAAGAAGGCCUACGGGUUGUAAACCGCUUUUGUCAGGGAAGAAAUCUUCUGAGCUAAUACCUCGGGAGGAUGACGGUACCUGAAGAAUAAGCACCGGCUAACUACGU
rnacentral:rRNA from 1 species